UGGGGAAUAUUGCACAAUGGGCGCAAGCCUGAUGCAGCCAUGCCGCGUGUGUGAAGAAGGCCUUCGGGUUGUAAAGCACUUUCAGCGAGGAGGAAGGUGGUGAGCUUAAUACGCUCAUCAAUUGACGUUACUCGCAGAAGAAGCACCGGCUAACUCCGUGCCAGCAGCCGCGGUAAUACGGAGGGUGCAAGCGUUAAUCGGAAUUACUGGGCGUAAAGCGCACGCAGGCGGUUUGUUAAGUCAGAUGUGAAAUCCCCGGGCUCAACCUGGGAACUGCAUUUGAAACUGGCAAGCUAGAGUCUCGUAGAGGGGGGUAGAAUUCCAGGUGUAGCGGUGAAAUGCGUAGAGAUCUGGAGGAAUACCGGUGGCGAAGGCGGCCCCCUGGACGAAGACUGACGCUCAGGUGCGAAAGCGUGGGGAGCAAACA
rnacentral:rRNA from 2 species